CAGCAGCCGCGGUAAUACGUAGGUGGCAAGCGUUGUCCGGAAUUAUUGGGCGUAAAGGGCUCGCAGGCGGUUUCUUAAGUCUGAUGUGAAAGCCCCCGGCUCAACCGGGGAGGGUCAUUGGAAACUGGGAAACUUGAGUGCAGAAGAGGAGAAUGGAAUUCCACGUGUAGCGGUGAAAUGCGUAGAGAUGUGGAGGAACACCAGUGGCGAAGGCGACUCUCUGGUCUGUAACUGACGCUGAGGAGCGAAAGCGUGGGGAGCGAACAGGAUUAGAUACCCCAGUAGUCCCUGUCUCUUAUAA
rnacentral:rRNA from 1 species